CGGCAGCGGCGCCAGCAACGUCGCCCUGGUGAAACUUCUCCAUGCAGCCAAGCGACCCGGCGGCCUGAACUCCACCUGCUUGACUCCCGCUCGUCUGUCACUACGUGGCCAGAUGAGAACACCUGAGGCACUGAGAUAUGAAGUAAUGUAUUUGGAUUCCACAAGCUAGUAAGUGGCAAUGCCAGGAUCCAAACGCAAGGAGUCUAGCUCCACAGCCUGAGCUUCUAACCAAGAUCCUGAAGGCGAAAAUAAGCUGGUGUGGUAAAGUCAGACUUGGAAGUACUGCUGUGGCUGGAAUGCAGAGAUGGAUUUAUCAAGAAGCUAGAAGCUUGAAUCCAGGGCCCCUGACUUACAGAAAGCAUCUUCCAACGCCCUGGGAGACCUAGCAAUAAUCUUCUGCAGACCACAUAGGAAAGCAGACCCCACGUCAAGCAGUUUGGUGUUUAUCCAAGUCCCAAAGUGGAGAGAAGACAGAAUGCCCGCCCAGGUCACGGGCUGCAAGAAUUCCUUCGAGGAAGAAAACUUCUCUCUUGGAUCCUCUGAAUAUACGGCUCAUAUAGUUAACUGUUUUAAAAGACAAGAUGACAAAUUCUA